CCUACGGGGGGCAGCAGUGGGGAAUAUUGCACAAUGGGGGAAACCCUGAUGCAGCGACGCCGCGUGAGUGAAGAAGUAAUUCGUUAUGUAAAGCUCCAUCAGCAGGGAAGAAAAUGACGGUACCUGAGUAAGAAGCCCCGGCUAACUACGUGCCAGCAGCCGCGGUAAUACGUAGGGGGCCAGCGUUAUCCGGAUUUACUGGGUGUAAAGGGAGCGUAGACGGCAGUGCAAGUUUGGAGUGAAAGGCGGGGGCUCAACCCCCGGACUGCGCUGGAAACCGGACGGCUGGAGUGCAGGAGAGGUAAGUGGAAUGCGUGGUGUAGCGGUGAAAUGCGUAGAUAUUAGGAGGAACACCAGUGGCGAAGGCGGCUUACUGGACUGUAACUGACGUUGAGGCUCGAAAGCGUGGGGAGCGAACAGGAUUAGAUACCCGUGUAGUC
rnacentral:rRNA from 1 species